rnacentral:rRNA from 1 species
AUUGAACGCUGGCGGCAGGCCUAACACAUGCAAGUCGAGCGGAUGAAGGGAGCUUGCUCCUGGAUUCAGCGGCGGACGGGUGAGUAAUGCCUAGGAAUCUGCCUGGUAGUGGGGGAUAACGUCCGGAAACGGGCGCUAAUACCGCAUACAUCCUGAGGGAGAAAGUGGGGGAUCUUCGGACCUCACGCUAUCAGAUGAGCCUAGGUCGGAUUAGCUAGUUGGUGGGGUAAAGGCCUACCAAGGCGACGAUCCGUAACUGGUCUGAGAGGAUGAUCAGUCACACUGGAACUGAGACACGGUCCAGACUCCUACGGGAGGCAGCAGUGGGGAAUAUUGGACAAUGGGCGAAAGCCUGAUCCAGCCAUGCCGCGUGUGUUAAGAAGGUCUUCGGAUUGUAAAGCACUUUAAGUUGGGAGGAAGGGCAGUAAGUUAAUACCUUGCUGUUUUGACGUUACCAACAGAAUAAGCACCGGCUAACUUCGUG